CAAAGCACUUUGAAGAGAGAGUUAAAGAGGACGUGAAACCGGUGAGGUGGAAACGGAUAGAGUCGGCGAAUCUGGCUUGUAUUCAGCUUGGUGGCGGGGGCGCUUUAUUAACUCUAUCCAGCAAUGGUGGAGUUGGUGGAGCUAGCCUCAGUCGCUGGGUGCAUUUGCAAGUGGAGUGCGCUGAGGGCCGUGGGUGCAGCGGUUCGAAGCGGGAGGAGUGGAGGCAUUCGUGCCAAACCUACUCUCGUGGGUGACUGUUUGUCCUGUGGUAAUCAUUGAGUAAGGCCUACGUGAUGCAAUUGUUGCCUGGUGGCUUCUCGUGGCGGUCGCAUGCGACACGUACUUGUUUGCCGUCUUGCAGUGCUUGUGUCACUCUUACUUUGCCUCGGUGUAAAAGCCGGUCAUCUAUCCGACCCGUCUUGAAACACGGACCAAGGAGUUUAGCGUGUACGCGAGUCAUUGAGUGUUCAAACUCAUAGGCGCAAUGAAAGUAAAAGGCCACUUGAUUGGCUGAUAUGCGACGAAGUAGGUUUCGGCCUAUUUCAGCAGCAUAGCCCCGUCCCGAUUGCUUGCAAUGGGGCGGAGGUAGAGCGUAUUCGCUGAGACCCGAAAGAUGGUGAACUAUUCCUGAGCAGGAUGAAGCCAGAGGAAACUCUGGUGGAAGUCCGAAGCGGUUCUGACGUGCAAAUCGAUCGUCUGACUUGGGUAUAGGGGCGAAAGACUAAUCGAACCAUC
rnacentral:rRNA from 1 species